rnacentral:rRNA from 1 species
CGCCCAGACAACCAGGAUGUUGGCUUAGAAGCAGCCAUACAUUCAAAGAGUGCGUAACAGCUCACUGGUCGAGUGGACAUGCGCCGACAAUACACGGGGCUAAGCUGGACACCGAAGCGGCGGGAUUUUAUCUAUAUAGAAUCGGUAGGGGAGCUUCCCAUGGGCGGUGAAGCCGCCGGGCGACCGGCGGUGGAGCGCAUGGGAGUGAGAAUGCUGGCAUGAGUAGCGAGAGACGAGAGAGUAACUCGUCCGCCGUGAACCCGAGGUUUCCUGGGCAAGGCUAAUCCUCCCAGGGUCAGUCGGGGGCUAAGGCGAGGCCGGGAGGCGUAGCCGACGCGCAGCAGGCAGACAUUCCUGCACCGCGCACGCGGCGCUACGACCGACGGGGCGACGGAUGGGGGUGGCUCGGCGGGGUUCUGGACGUCCCCGUGAUGGAGCGCGGCCCGCGGACCAGGGAAAUCCGGUCCGCAGAAGGGCGAGGCUCCGGACGAAGCGAUCAAGCGAAGCGAGUGAGCCCGAGGUCCCUAGAAAAACCCCUAGGCAGGCGCGUGCGCGCCCGUACCGCAAACCGACACAGGUGGGUGGGUAGAACAUACCGAGGCGAUCGGGUCAACCAUGGUCAAGGAACUCGGCACAAUGGCCCCGUAACUUCGGGAGAAGGGGUGCCCGCGCGUACGUGAACCGGCUUGCCCGGGGAGCGGAGGCGGGCCGCAGUGGAGAGGCCCAAGCGACUGUUUACCAAAAACACAGGACUCUGCAGAAGCCGCAAGGCGACGUAUAGGGUCUGACGCCUGCCCGGUGCCGGAAGGUCACGCGGAGGAGUUAGCCGCAAGGCGAAGCCCCGAAGCCAAGCCCCGGUAAACGGCGGCCGUAACUAUAACGGUCCUAAGGUAGCGAAAUUCCUUGUCGGGUAAGUUCCGACCUGCACGAAAGGCGCAACGACUUGGGCGCUGUCUCGACCAUGGACCCGGUGAAAUUGCACUGGUCGUGAAGAUGCGACUUACCCGCGGAAGGACGGAAAGACCCCGUGAACCUUCACUGCAGCUUGGCAUUGGCCGCUGGUCCCGCGUGUAGAGGAUAGGCAGGAGGCAUCGAUCCGGAGGCGCCAGCCCCCGGGGAGCCGCCCUUGGAAUACUGCCCUCGCGCGACCGGCGUCCUAACCCGAGGCCGUCAACCGGCUCGGGGACCGUGCCAGGCGGGCAGUUUGACUGGGGCGGUCGCCUCCUAAAGGGUAACGGAGGCGCGCGAAGGUCCGCUCGGGACGGUCGGCAACCGUCCUUUUGAAUGCAAGAGUACAAGCGGGCUUGACUGCGAGGCCCACAAGCCGAGCAGGUGCGAAAGCAGGCUCUAGUGAUCCGGCGGCCCCGAGUGGGUGGGCCGUCGCUCAACGGAUAAAAGGUACUCCGGGGAUAACAGGCUGAUCUUGCCCAAGAGUCCACAUCGACGGCAAGGUUUGGCACCUCGAUGUCGGCUCAUCGCAUCCUGGGGCUGGAGCAGGUCCCAAGGGUACGGCUGUUCGCCGUUUAAAGCGGUACGCGAGCUGGGUUCAGAACGUCGUGAGACAGUUCGGUCCCUAUCCUCCGUGGGCGCAGGAGAAUCGAUGGAGGCUGCCCCCAGUACGAGAGGACCGGGGUGGACGCACCUCCGGUGAACCGGUUGUCGACCAACGGCACGGCCGGGUAGCCGCGUGCGGCGCGGAUAACCGCUGAAGGCAUCUAAGCGGGAAGCCGUUCCAGGGAUUAGUUCUCCUUCCGGUAAGGGCCCAGGUAGACUACCUGGUCGAUAGACGGCAGGUGCAAGGACGGCGACGUCCUCAGCCGAGCCGCACUAAUCGCCCGAGCUCUUCCGGA